rnacentral:rRNA from 1 species
AUUGAACGCUGGCGGCAGGCCUAACACAUGCAAGUCGAGCGGAGAUGAGGUGCUUGCAUCUUAUCUUAGCGGCGGACGGGUGAGUAAUGCUUAGGAAUCUGCCUAUUAGUGGGGGACAACAUUCCGAAAGGAAUGCUAAUACCGCAUACGUCCUACGGGAGAAAGCAGGGGAUCUUCGGACCUUGCGCUAAUAGAUGAGCCUAAGUCGGAUUAGCUAGUUGGUGGGGUAAAGGCCUACCAAGGCGACGAUCUGUAGCGGGUCUGAGAGGAUGAUCCGCCACACUGGGACUGAGACACGGCCCAGACUCCUACGGGAGGCAGCAGUGGGGAAUAUUGGACAAUGGGGGGAACCCUGAUCCAGCCAUGCCGCGUGUGUGAAGAAGGCCUUAUGGUUGUAAAGCACUUUAAGCGAGGAGGAGGCUACUGAGACUAAUACUCUUGGAUAGUGGACGUUACUCGCAGAAUAAGCACCGGCUAACUCUGUGCCAGCCGCCGCGGUAAUAC